rnacentral:ncRNA from 1 species
GAAGAGUCUGCUCCGGGCAAAUAAAAACGAUGAAACGUUGUGCGGAGC